rnacentral:rRNA from 1 species
UACGUAGGGGGCUAGCGUUGUCCGGAAUCAUUGGGCGUAAAGCGCGUGUAGGCGGCCCGGUAAGUCCGCUGUGAAAGUCGGGGGCUCAACCCUCGAAAGCCGGUGGAUACUGUCGGGCUCGAGUGCGGAAGAGGCGAGUGGAAUUCCUGGUGUAGCGGUGAAAUGCGCAGAUAUCAGGAGGAACACCGAUUGCGAAGGCAGCUCGCUGGGACGUUACUGACGCUGGAGACGCGAAAGCGUGGGGAGCAAACAGG